rnacentral:rRNA from 1 species
UACGUAGGGCGCAAGCGUUGUCCGGAAUUAUUGGGCGUAAAGAGCUCGUAGGCGGUCUGUCGCGUCUGCCGUGAAAACCCGAGGCUUAACCUCGUGGCUUGCGGUGGAUACGGGCAGACUAGAGGUAGGUAGGGGAGAAUGGAAUUCCCGGUGUAGCGGUGAAAUGCGCAGAUAUCGGGAGGAACACCGGUGGCGAAGGCGGUUCUCUGGGCCGUAACUGACGCUGAGGAGCGAAAGCGUGGGGAGCGAACAGG